GGGGAAUAUUGGGCAAUGGGCGCAAGCCUGACCCAGCAACGCCGCGUGAGGGAAGAAGGUCUUCGGAUUGUAAACCUCUGUCCUUGGGGACGAAAAAAAUGACGGUACCCAAGGAGGAAGCUCCGGCUAACUACGUGCCAGCAGCCGCGGUAAUACGUAGGGAGCGAGCGUUGUCCGGAAUUACUGGGCGUAAAGGGUGCGUAGGCGGCUAGGCAAGUCAGAUGUGAAAUCCCCGGGCUUAACUCGGGAGUUGCAUUUGAAACUGCUUAGCUUGAGUGUAGGAGAGGAAAGCGGAAUUCCUAGUGUAGCGGUGAAAUGCGUAGAUAUUAGGAGGAACACCAGUGGCGAAGGCGGCUUUCUGGACUGUAACUGACGCUGAGGCACGAAAGCGUGGGGAGCAAAC
rnacentral:rRNA from 1 species